CAAUAGCGUAUAUUAAAGUUGUUGCGGUUAAAAAGCUCGUAGUUGGAGUUCUGCCAGGUGCCGCCUGUCCGCCCCAGUGGUGAGUACGUGGCGCGCAUUUGGCCCUUUCAAGGGGGGCGUAUCUGCACUUUAUUGUGUGGUGCGGGAUCCUUGACUUUUACUUUGAGGAAAUAGGAGUGUUCCAAGCAGGCUCUCGUCGUGCACAGCUCAGCAUGGAAUAAUAGCAUUGGACCUCGAUUCUAAGCUGUUGGUUGCCAGAAGCGAGGUAAUGAUGAAGAGGGAUAGUUGGGGGCAUUCGUAUUUAACUGUCAGGGGUGAAAUUCUUGGAUUUGUUAAAGACGGACUACUGCGAAAGCAUCUGCCAUGGAUGUUUUCAUUGA
rnacentral:rRNA from 1 species